AGGACGAACGCUGGCGGCGUGCUUCAUACAUGCAAGUCGAACGAGAAAUCAACUUCGGUUGGUGGAAAGUGGCGGACGGGUGAGUAAUAUGUAGAGAAUCUGCCCUAGAGAUGGGGACAACAGUUGGAAACGACUGCUAAUACCCAAUAUGAGCGUAGCUGAGAUGCUAUUCUUGGAAACUCCGGUGCUCUGGGAUGAGUCUGCAUCUGAUUAGCUAGUUGGCGGUGUAAUGGACCACCAAGGCGACGAUCAGUAGCUGGUUUGAGAGGAUGAUCAGCCACAAUGGGACUGAGACACGGUCCAUACUCCUACGGGAGGCAGCAGUAGGGAAUUUUGCGCAAUGGGCGAAAGCCUGACGCCAGCAACGCCGCGUGAUUGAUGAAGCCCUUCGGGGUGUAAAGAUCUGUCAGUGGGGACGAAACUUGACGGUACCCACAGAGGAAGCACCGGCUAACUCCGUGCCAGCCGCAGC
rnacentral:rRNA from 1 species